rnacentral:pre_miRNA from 1 species
UUAGUACUCCCUUCAUUCAGAAUUACUUGUCGGAGAAAUAGAUGUUUCUAGAUGUAUUUUAGUUCUUGAUACAUCCAUUUUUGCGACAAGUAAUUCCGAACAGAGGAAGUACAUG